AAAAAUAUUUUCCAACUACGUUUACUCUUGCAAACUAAGUAUACCUUGGUCUGUUCUUAGAUGUAGGGGGAAGAACUUUUGUUUAUGUCUGUUUAUUUUGAACUCACGACAUAGCUUACACUGGCCUGAAACUAGCGCUCCCAUUGAUUUUCCUGCCUCGUGUCAGUCUUCCAAGUGCUGAGCUGAUAGAUGUAAGCAACUGUACGUGGCUCGGGUUUAGAUUCUUUUUUUCAUUUUAUUUCAUUUCUUUUCUUACGAUAAGAGAGAUGGAUACUGGAUUUAAGGUUGUAAUCUUUGACUUAGAUGUUGUAUUAAAAAGCUUAGUGUGAGAUUUUUUUGGCAGUAUAUGAUAAACUGCCUUUUCUUUCUGAGUUACAAGUGCUUCCAGUCCACAAAGGAAGGGAUCUCUACUCUGCUUUAACCUCACUUCUGUUUCAGAAGAGGGUUUUGAUUCUAAAUAUAAGGGACUCAAGUAAAUGGUACUCAACUGUAAUAUUGCUAAUAUAUAUUAGAGAGUCACUGCAUUUUUUAAUAGAACCUCAUCUAAAUCUUUGAAAGUAAGAUAUAAACUUCUUGGCUGAAACCUCAACAGUCUCAACAGUUUUGUUUAUUUUUUUCCCCACACAGUUAAAUAAUUUAGAAUCCAGGUAUGGUAAUACCAUGUAUGUAGUCCCAACAUUUUAGAGGUGGAGGCAGGAAGAUCUAGAGUUCAAGGGCAGUAUUAGCUGGAUUGUGAAUUGGAGGCUAGCCUAGGCUACAUGAGACUGUCUCAAAAAACAAAACUAACAAAAACAAUCAAUAAAUGAGAAUUCCUUGGUCUAUCAUAUGUAACCAGCCAUGUGUUUGUAAAAUUAUUAAAGGCAGUGUGUCAAAUAUAUUUUCCUUUAUGUUUUUCACAAAGUUAAUGCUAGGUACACAAUAAAAAUUAAAAAGCAUUUGGUUCGUUCACUGUUUCACUAUUGACCCAGGAAAAGAAAUGUAUGGACUAUAUUAUUAUAGUCCAAAGGCUUAUCUCUUUAGCUUUUGCUUUCCUUGAAGAACUUCUCACGUGUAGUCAGAGACGCUUAGGCCUUAAGGAGAAAAGCGUUCAAGGCCUUGAGACAUGAGGGAUGAUGCAUGACAUCAUGCAUCGUGUAUGGCAGCAGUGCCAUCACUUUUGAUGCCGUCACACUUGCCUGAAAGCAGCUGUCCUAAGUUUUGGGAAGUAACUAAGAAACUUUAACUGAGAAGAUCAGGCCAAAGUCAUUGCUAUUUGUGGGAUUUAUGUAUUAAAGUUACCAGAAAGCUUUACCAUGAAAGGCACUUGUUGAGUUCUGUGGAAUUUGAUGUCCUUGAGUUUGAUGUGACUUUGCCCCAGCAGUGCAGUGAGCUGCUCUCUCUGCCUCUGCAUUCACUUUGUAAUUCCUCUUUUAUAAACACAUCGCAGAGCACUGCUAAGACGGAUAUUAUCAUGGAAAUAAUUUAUCCUUCUAAUUAAUUUUACCCCUUUUUUGUUAUUUUUGAUUCAGUGUCCCAGACCAACCUUAAACAUGAAAUCCUCCUGCCUCUUUUUCCCUGGUACUAGGAUUAAAGAUGUUUGUCUCCAUUCUUGUCUCUUAAUUUUUAUCUCUCUAGUUUGUGUUAUAAAUUUUGAAAUGAUAUUCUUCAAUAUCAUUUAUCACUAUUUUUAGAAAUAUAACUAUAUAUAUCCAUGUUUUGUUAUAUUUACAUCUAUAAUGAAGAUAUAUAAAUGUAUAUAUAAAUAUAUAUUUAGGUGCAGAACACAUAGGAAUUUUGCUUCUUACUGUGUGCACCGUUCAAUGCCCCUUACCUCUUACUUUCUCUUCAGUCUUCUUUGACUGUAUAUGGUAGAAUAAAUCUGUUACCUUUAUCCUAGGAGUACAGUGUGUGCACUUCUAGUAUGUUUUAUCUUAAUUCUUUAUUUCUAGUUUCUCCAGCAUAUACUACAUUCAAGAGAAGAGCAGUAUUUUUUAAAAAUUCAUCCUUAUAGUAUCAUGUUCUUAAAGUAUUGCUUAUAGUGUAUACUCAAAUGUUUGUUGAAUUGAGUUCAGAAAAAAUUAUGAAAAUUUAAUUUUUAUGAUUUUGAUGUUCCUAAUUUAAGCACAGUUUUGUAAGCCUGAUCAUAAGUUCUGAUGUCAGAAAACAGGGCUCUCAAAUUUAUGCUUCCUGCUUGGUGCCCCCCACCCCUGUGCUUAAUUCUGAAUACUCUUCCU
rnacentral:lncRNA from 1 species